UACGUAGGGUGCGAGCGUUGUCCGGAAUUAUUGGGCGUAAAGGGCGCGCAGGCGGCUCUGAAAGUCAGAUGUGAAAGCCCCCGGGCUUAACCUGGGAACUGCAUUUGAUACUCUGGAGCUUGAGUACAGGAGAGGAUAGUGGAAUUCCCAGUGUAGAGGUGAAAUUCGUAGAUAUUGGGGAAGAACACCGGUGGCGAAGGCGGCUAUCUGGACCGUAACUGACGCUGAGGCGCGAAAAGCGUGGGGGAGCAAACAGG
rnacentral:rRNA from 1 species